rnacentral:rRNA from 1 species
UACGGAGGGGGCUAGCGUUGUUCGGAAUUACUGGGCGUAAAGCGCACGUAGGCGGCUUUGUAAGUUAGAGGUGAAAGCCCGGAGCUCAACUCCGGAAUUGCCUUUAAGACUGCAUCGCUAGAAUCAUGGAGAGGUGAGUGGAAUUCCGAGUGUAGAGGUGAAAUUCGUAGAUAUUCGGAAGAACACCAGUGGCGAAGGCGACUCACUGGACAUGUAUUGACGCUGAGGUGCGAAAGCGUGGGGAGCAAACAGGAUUAGAAACCCCCGUAGUCC